CGGGGAAUUUUGGACAAUGGGCGCAAGCCUGAUCCAGCAAUGCCGCGUGCAGGAUGAAGGCCUUCGGGUUGUAAACUGCUUUUGUACGGAGCGAAAAGGUCUGCCCUAAUACGGUGGGCUCAUGACGGUACCGUAAGAAUAAGCACCGGCUAACUACGUGCCAGCAGCCGCGGUAAUACGUAGGGUGCGAGCGUUAAUCGGAAUUACUGGGCGUAAAGCGUGCGCAGGCGGUUAUGCAAGACAGAGGUGAAAUCCCCGGGCUCAACCUGGGAACUGCAUUUGUGACUGCAUGGCUAGAGUACGGUAGAGGGGGAUGGAAUUCCGCGUGUAGCAGUGAAAUGCGUAGAUAUGCGGAGGAACACCGAUGGCGAAGGCAAUCCCCUGGACCUGUACUGACGCUCAUGCACGAAAGCGUGGGGAGCAAACA
rnacentral:rRNA from 1 species